rnacentral:rRNA from 1 species
UGCGUAGGCGGGCGUCUAAGUCAGUGGUGAAAUCUUACAGCUCAACUGUAAAAUUGCCAUUGAUACUGGAUGUCUUGAAUUAGUGUGAAGUGGUUAGAAUGUGUAGUGUAGCGGUGAAAUGCAUAGAUAUUACACAGAAUACCAAUUGCGAAGGCAGAUCACUAACACUAUAUUGACGCUGAGGGACGAAAGCGUGGGGAGCGAACAGGAUUAGAUACCCUGGUAGUCC